UAAACAGAGCUUGGAGAGCCAUUGAAAUCUAGGUCAGGAUUUCAGCUUUGCCUGGGGAUCUCAUUAUGUGAAUCAGGGAAACUCUGUGCUGCUCCAUGAGCCAGGUGAAGAAUACUUCUUCAAGGGAAUAAUGAAACCAGGUUAGUUUCUGACAUCCUUCUCUUCAGGGUGCAUGUGGAUAGUGAAGAUGCUGCCCUGAUCAUCAGGAAAUGAGCAGGCUGCCUGACUCCAACCUGAGCUGAAGGAAUGGAGCUGGAUCCAGAUGCAAACCCUUUCCAGGAUGAUCACCUCUGAUUUCUGCAAAUGGACAUUUGGAAGAGCAGCGUGAUGACAGGCUAUUUAUUCCUACACAAACGGGACUCUAAAUGCUGCUGAACUGGAACUUGGUCAUCCUGCAUUGCUCUGCUAGUAUGAACAAACCAUUUCUGAAAGGUGGGUGGGCUCUGCAGUGUUUGGUGGCAGCCUGAAGCUGGUUCUACACAUGUGAAAGGCUGGGGUCAGCCUUGCUGUAUUUGGCUGGCUUAGUAA